rnacentral:rRNA from 1 species
ACGGGUGAGUAACGCGUGGGAACGUGCCUUCCGGUUCGGAAUAACCCUGGGAAACUAGGGCUAAUACCGGAUACGCCCUUAUGGGGAAAGGUUUACUGCCGGAAGAUCGGCCCGCGUCUGAUUAGCUAGUUGGUGGGGUAACGGCCUACCAAGGCGACGAUCAGUAGCUGGUCUGAGAGGAUGAUCAGCCACACUGGGACUGAGACACGGCCCAGACUCCUACGGGAGGCAGCAGUGGGGAAUAUUGGACAAUGGGCGCAAGCCUGAUCCAGCCAUGCCGCGUGAGUGAUGAAGGCCUUAGGGUUGUAAAGCUCUUUUAUCCGGGACGAUAAUGACGGUACCGGAGGAAUAAGCCCCGGCUAACUUCGUGCCAGCAGCCGCGGUAAUACGAAGGGGGCUAGCGUUGCUCGGAAUCACUGGGCGUAAAGGGCGCGUAGGCGGCGUUUUAAGUCGGGGGUGAAAGCCUGUGGCUCAACCACAGAAUGGCCUUCGAUACUGAGACGCUUGAGUAUGGUAGAGGUUGGUGGAACUGCGAGUGUAGAGGUGAAAUUCGUAGA